UAUUGCACAAUGGGCGAAAGCCUGAUGCAGCGACGCCGCGUGAGGGAUGACGGCCUUCGGGUUGUAAACCUCUUUCAGUAAGGAAGAAGCGAAAGUGACGGUACUUGCAGAAGAAGCGCCGGCUAACUACGUGCCAGCAGCCGCGGUAAUACGUAGGGCGCGAGCGUUAUCCGGAAUUAUUGGGCGUAAAGAGCUCGUAGGCGGUUUGUCGCGUCUGCCGUGAAAGUCCGGGGCUUAACUCCGGAUCUGCGGUGGGUACGGGCAGGCUAGAGUGCAGUAGGGGAGACUGGAAUUCCUGGUGUAGCGGUGAAAUGCGCAGAUAUCAGGAGGAACACCGAUGGCGAAGGCAGGUCUCUGGGCUGUAACUGACGCUGAGGAGCGAAAGCAUGGGUAGCGAACAGG
rnacentral:rRNA from 1 species